rnacentral:rRNA from 1 species
UGGGGAACAUUGCACAAUGCGCGCAAGCCUGAUGCAGCCAUGCCGCGUGUAUGAAGAAGGCCUUCGGGUUGUAAAGUACUUUCAGCGGGGAGGAAGGCGAUAAGGUUAAUAACCUUGUCGAUUGACGUUACCCGCAGAAGAAGCACCGGCUAACUCCGUGCCAGCAGCCGCGGUAAUACGGAGGGUGCAAGCGUUAAUCGGAAUUACUGGGCGUAAAGCGCACGCAGGCGGUCUGUCAAGUCGGAUGUGAAAUCCCCGGGCUCAACCUGGGAACUGCAUUCGAAACUGGCAGGCUAGAGUCUUGUAGAGGGGGGUAGAAUUCCAGGUGUAGCGGUGAAAUGCGUAGAGAUCUGGAGGAAUACCGGUGGCGAAGGCGGCCCCCUGGACAAAGACUGACGCUCAGGUGCGAAAGCGUGGGGAGCAAACA